UAAGGAAUAUUGCUCAAUGGGAGAAAUCCUGAAGCGGCAACGCCGCGUGGAGGAUGAAGGGUCUAUGACUUGUAAACUCCUGUAAAGAAGGAAAAAAUUCCCAUUUGAUGGGAGAUGAUGGUACUUCUGGAGUAAGCCCCGGCUAACUACGUGCCAGCAGCCGCGGUAAUACGUAGGGGGCAAGCGUUGUCCGGAUUUACUGGGUGUAAAGGGUGCUCAGGCGGAUUUGUAAGUCAGAGGUGAAAUCUUACAGCUUAACUGUGAAACUGCCUUUGAUACUGCAAGCCUAGAGUAUGGAAGAGGGUGAUGGAAUAUCUGGUGUAGCAGUGAAAUGCGUAGAUAUCAGAUAGAACACCGAUGGCGAAGGCAGUCACUUGGUCCAUUACUGACGCUAAAGCACGAAAGCGUGGGUAGCAAACA
rnacentral:rRNA from 1 species